rnacentral:rRNA from 1 species
AUUGAACGCUAGCGGGAUGCCUUACACAUGCAAGUCGAACGGCGUGGCAAACGGGUGCGUGUGGUAUCGGAACGUGCCCCGUAGCGGGGGAUAACUACGCGAAAGCGUAGCUAAUGCCGCAUCCUCUUGCAAUCGCCGGUACCGGAUUGGCUAGGUGGUGGGGUAAGGGCUCACCAAGGCGACGAUCCGUAGCUGGUUUGAGAGGACGACCAGCCACACUGGGACUGAGACACGGCCCAGACUCCUACGGGAGGCAGCAGUGGGGAAUUUUGGACAAUGGGGGAAACCCUGAUCCAGCCAUGCCGCGUGUGCGAUGAAGGCCUUCGGGUUGUAAAGCACUUUUGGCAGGAAAGCGGUACCUGCAGAAGAAGCACCGGCUAACUACGUGCCAGCAGCCGCGGUAAUUC